rnacentral:rRNA from 1 species
UGCGGAAGGAUCAUUAUUGAGCUUAACAAUUUAAUUUAUACUGGUUUGUGCUUAUUCUGUACGUUGUCUCUAGGAAUUGGUGCUUACUGUGAAACGGCAUUCAGUGGUUUCGAGAGGCGUUUGGAGCAGUCGUAUGUGCGUGGCUGUAAUGAUAGACGUUUGACAUUGCUUUUUUAAAGCGAUGAGAAUUAAAGUAGCUGGCUUGGCUCGCCACUAUUUAUCCAUAUUGUUUAACGUUUGUUAUGUGUUGUUACACCAGUUGCAGGUA